UACGAACCGUACAAACGUUAUUCGGAAUCACUGGGCUUAAAGGGUGCGUAGGCGGUCAUGUAAGUGAGAUGUGAAAUCCCUCGGCUCAACCGAGGAAGUGCAUUUCAUACUGCAUGGCUUGAGGGAGACAGGGGUAAGCGGAACUGAUGGUGGAGCGGUGAAAUGCGUUGAUAUCAUCAGGAACACCGGUGGCGAAAGCGGCUUACUGGGUCUCUUCUGACGCUGAGGUACGAAAGCUAGGGGAGCGAUCGGG
rnacentral:rRNA from 1 species